UGACAGUUGGUGCCAGCGACGGGUGUAUAGAAGGGGUGCCAGGCGGUGUUCGGAGUCACUGGGCGUCAGUGGUGCGUUGGCGCUUGGGUAAUUCUGAUGUGAAAGCCCGCAGCUUAACUGCGGAACGGGAUUGGAUACUAUUCGGCUCGAGGAGUGGAGGGGAGACUGGAGUUCUCGGUGUAGCAGUGAAAUGCGUAGAUAUCGAGAGGAACACCUGUGGCGAAGGCGAGUCUCUGGACACUUCCUGACGCUGAGGCACGAAAGCCAGGGGAGCAAACGGGAUUAGAUACCCGUGUAGUC
rnacentral:rRNA from 1 species